rnacentral:lncRNA from 1 species
GCCCUUCUAAGAACAAAGUACAACAUUUCUCUCUCUCACUUGAAAAAGAAAAACAGAAACAUCAAUCAGUCAAUAACAUUUUCUUAAAAAGCCCUUUUUACAUCAGUAGUCGUCACAAAGUACUUUUACAGUAACCCAAAACAUGGCAUCUGACAUGAGACUAUCCACAAUAAUUCUGUGAUGCCUCCUUACUGACAUGAUGAUAGCUAGUGAUUAUGAUUUAAGGAAGAGAUGACUAUGUGAUAAAUCAGGUUGGACCGUUGGGGUCCCCACACUAAGUCGUGUGUGGUGGCUGGCUUGUUUGACAUGUGAUGGAUGAUGUUUUAAAAAGCUGGUGUCACAUUAAUAAUUUACCUUCGGAGUGAUGGAUUGAAAAGGAACUGACAGAGGGGUGGGAGGUCUCAGUCACCACACAGGGAUCACGGGAUGGGGGAACAUGGAAUGUGCAUUUGCUUUGACAACACCAGAGGAGACUGGUGGGAGGAGCUAAAGCAGGACGGGCUCAUUGAAAUGGCUGGAAUGUAAUAACUGGAACGGUAUCAAACACAUCAAACAUAUGGAAACCACAUGUUUGACUGUGUUCCAUUUAUUCCACUCCAGCAAUUAGAACGAGCCCGUCCUCCUAUAACUCCUCCCACCAGCCUCCUCUGGACAAAACUGAUGCUCAUGCUUUCUGACACUGUAUGCACUUAGCAAUGCUCUGCACUUUCCCUUUUUCUCUCUAUCCUACUUUUCUAUUUCUCUCUAUGUGUCUGUAUGCCUAUCUUCCUGUAUCUAUUUAUUUCUGUCUCUCUUUCUUUCUCUUUCUAUCUCUCUCGGUCUCCCCUUUUCUCUCCUCUCUCUUCAUAUGCCUUUUCUUCUUCUUUCUCUCUCUCCUCCGUUUGGACUCUUUCACCUCAAGACAAAACAAUUACAGUCUUCUCACUUGUGUAAUUAUUUCGUAUGGGUUUGAUGCUCUGCCGCAAAGUGGUUAACGUCUGCAUAUUAUGCCUCCCAUUUCAAACAGAUAAAAAAGUAGCAAUUAUCAAAAUAGCCCUACUGGCUUUGAAUAUGAACAUGAAAUGUGUGUCUUUACCAUAAAUGCAGUUACCCAAAAGGUAGACAGAGUUUGACACAAAAGCCAUUGACAAGCUGAGGUGGGAAAUCAGCGGAAAGAGACAAAAUGGGCAAUGCUCAUUGGGGUACAACGUAACAAAAUGUUAUUGCAGCGGUUCCCAACCUUUUUCGCUUACUCUACCACCUACUAAAUUUAGCUCUGCCCGGAGUACCCCUGAAGUACACCCUCAUGUGCAUUUUACCAGUAGGCCUAUGGUCUCAUUGGUCUUCUCAAGUGCCCCCUGUGGAUAGGCCAGUUACCCCCACGAAUCACAAUCAAAUUGGACAAGUUCACAUAGUACCCCCUCUGUUUUGGACCCUAUUUCCACCAUUUUGUGCAUACCGAACACAACCCUGAACAAUGCAUGAACUGUAGAGAACUGGUGGAGGAGUGUGUGAACAAUGUCACACCUUUUCGCCUGUUCCUGUCAGAUCUGAGAUGAAGUGCUCUCCUAUCAAAAAGGUCGGUGGCUUCCCGCACCGCUCCAUAACACAUCUAUUACAUACUAACGAGAUGUUCCUGACGUGUUAUAACACACCUGCCGUGUCUCGUGUCAGAUCUGAUAUGGUAUCGCACACACCCAAUCUCAUAAAUAUUAAAUGCGCCUCCGACAAUACUUCCAAAGCCUCAUACGUGAACAUGUACCAUGGCUUUCACUUAGUAUGGCUAUAUGACCUAUUUUGAGUUGUUAAAAAAUGUCAUUCACAAACCUGUACUUUGAUUUUGAAUAUAACGCUAGCAUACUUGUGGAUGCCCAUUCAAGGCUUCUACCCUCUAUAAUUCUAAUGAUAUUAACUAUAAUUGCCUUUUCAUUGGUUAAUAUGAGGAGAGGAUAGGAGAGUGUUCUGACUGAUGAGGAUCUCCUGAAUAUUGCAUUGCUAUUGUUUAUGAGGAAAUUAGGAGAGUAUUCAUUUUUAAUAUGUUGAGGCUACGCUGCACUACUCACUCUCAUGCUAAGAGUGAGACAGAGGCCCCUUCUGAACAGAUUUGUCAUGGGAAGACAGGGAAGAGAUUUGAGGGAGAGGAAGAUAUUUCAUAAAGGGAAAAAAAUUAAGGAUUUGAGGGGAAAGAAUGACAUAAGUGGGAAAAUGUAUUUCAUUACAUCAUUGUAGUUUAAAGUAGGAUACAUAUCAAAUCAAAUUGUAUUGGUCGCAUACACAUAUUUAGCAGAUGUUAUUGCGGGUGUAGUGAAAUGCUUGUGUUCCUUGCUCCAACAGUGCAGUAGUAUCUAACAAUUCACAACAAUACACACACAUCUAAAAGUAAAAGAAUGGAAUUAAGAACUAUAUAAAUAUUUGGACAAGAAAUACACAUAUCAAAUAAAGAAAACAAUGUAAACAUUAUUAGAGUGACUAGUGUUCCAUUUAAAGUGACCAGUGAUUUCUUUGUACUUGUUUCUCCUUUUCUUAGCCUACUGCUCCAUGGCAUCAUCUAUUGACUAUGCUUUCCUGUUUUGUUGUUUGCAGGUCUUGCUUGAUUACUUUAAUUAGACUUUCUCAAUGGGAACAAUGUGUACAACACCAAACCCUCUCAUCCGCUCAUAAUCCAUUAUGCAAACAUCUGUCUUUGGGUACAGCUGUUUACGGUGAUGCUCCACAAGCUUCUCCAAGAAGAACCAGGACUAGAAGAUCAUGAACUACUGUGACAAGACCCAGAAGCAGUGCCCAGAUCAUACCAGCUGGAGAAGGAGUGUGACCUCAACAAGUUACAGUCUUGUCCCAUCGCUGCAACUCCGCUACAGAUUCGGUAAAGGCGAAGGGCGAGAGCCAUGCGUCCUCUGAAACACGACCCGGCCAAGCUGCACUAUUUUUGACUACUUUUACUUUUACUCCACUACAUUCCUGAAUAAAAUAAUGUACUUUUUACUCCAUACAUUUUCCCUGACACCCAAAAGUACUUGUUACAUUUCGAAUGCUUAGCAGGACAGGAAAAUUGUCAGAUUCACGCACUUAUCAAGAAAACAUCAAUGGUCAUCCCUACUGCCUCUGAUCUGGCAGACUCACUAAAAACAAAGUGAGUGUUGGAGUAUGCCCCUGGCUAUCCGUAAAUAAAAAAAGAAGAAAAUCAUGCCUGGUUUGCCUAAUAUAAGGAAUGUGAAAUUAUGUAUAAUUUUCCUUUUGACACUUAAGUAUAUUUUAGUAAUUACAUUUACUUUUGAUACUUCAGUAUAUUUAAAACUAAUUACUUUUAGACUUUUAGUCAAGUAAAUUUUACUGGGCGACUUUCACUUUUACUUGAGUCCUAUUCUCUUAAGGUAUCUUAGGAACUUUUUCCCACCACUGAUAUUUUAUGACUACAAAACGUCAGUAUUGUUACUAGGUUUUGGUUUGACAUAGACUGUUAUUCUGUCAAGCAAUAUCCCUGUCACAUUUGCAUAAUGUUUCUAUCUAAUUGAUUCAUGGAACCUCUCAAAUGUAUGAUAAUGGCAGAGAAUAAAAUGGUAGAGAUAGAAAGAGAGUAGAUAAUAAUUGCAGAAGAUUGCAGUAUCUAACAAGUCAAAUCAGAAGCGUUUGGUGCACGCACUUUGUUCCUGUCUGUAUACCUGUCUUUAAACCAGUCUCACGGAGAGUAAAAAUCCUAACCUUUGAGGACCCUAUCGCAUAGAAAUCCAGGCAGAGUGUUUGCAUCUUAUGUAACGAUUUCAGUCAGUGUUGUUGUUAUGAAGCUUCAAGAUUACCAGGUACCAUUGUCACGUCCUGACCAGUAAAGAGGUUAUUUGAUCUUAUAGUUUGGUCAGGACGUGGCAGGGGGUAUUUGUUUUAUGUGGGUCAGGGUGUGUUUGUGUAUGUGUUCAUGUAGAGGGGGUAUUUGGUUUAUAUGGUUCGGGGUGGUUAUGUAGGUAGAGGGGUAUUUGAUUUAUUAGUCUAGGGUUUUGGUUAUUGUUCUAUGUUAGUUUAGUUCUAUGUUCAGUCUAGUCAUUUGUAUUUCUAUGUUUAGUUAAUUGGCAUUGGGGCCUUCAGUUGGAGGCAGCUGUCUAUUGUUGCCUCUGAUUGAAGGUCCUAUAAAUAGGUAUGUGUUUGGCAUGGGAUUUUGGGGGAGAUUGUUUCUUGUUUUGCGUUAUGCCUGACG